CGCACCACCUUCAAGAGCCACCACCCUCACAGGGAGUCACAGGCAAAGCAGGGAUGUUCUGUGGUUGAUAUUAACUCCUUGCAUUUACCCAGCACUUUACAGUUUAGAAAGCCCUUUCCCAUCGUUUCUCUCAUUUGGCCCUCGUACCAUCCUUGUGCCAUAGCCAGGGAUCACCCCUGUUGGCCCCAUUUUACCCAUUAGGAAUCAGAGCAAUUGUGUGACUUGCCAAAGACUUCAGAGUCAGGAAGUUACAGAGCCAGGACUCAGAGAUAUUCUCACUCUUAGUCAUCUGCCCGCCUCCUUCAUGACCCAUAUGCCCUGUACAUGGAAUAAGGUUUUCCAAAGAAAAGCAUAAUUCAUAUGUUCUACAUGUAAGAUUAUUCGGCCAAAUGUCAAAUAGUGAAAAACUUUUCACCUCUCUCUCCAGGAUCCUUUGCUUAAUGUUCAAGUAUGUAUAUGAUUCCCAAGAAAAAGAGACCACAGGUCUGCUUUCAAUUUGUUAUGCAGAAAGUAUUUACUAUAAGGGAUGCCUGGGUGGCUCAGUGGUUGAGCAUCUGCCUUUGGCUCAGGGCAUGAUCCCAGGGUCCUGGGAUGGAGCCCUGCAUUGGCCUCCCCGCAGGGAGCCUGCUUCUCCCUCUGUCUAUGUCUCUGCCUCUCUGUGUCUCUCAUGAAUAAAUAAAACCUUCAAAAAAAAAAAAAAGUAUAUACUGUCAUGCCUGAACCCUAAGCAAGCAGGACCCAAAUCCUAUUUCACUUGAGUGUUUACCCAAAGCUCUACUUUUGUUAAUGCAAAAAAGGUUCCCAUAUUUGCCUAUCUAUUGUGAUUCUUUGCUUUCCCUUCUUAUUCAAGGAAGGAACCUGAAGUGCUUAUGGAAAUUGCAAGAAGAGGACAAAAUCAGUUGGAAAGAUUUAGAGAUCUGGGGUCAAAACAGUGUGAAAUCACUGCCCAAAGGGAAGGAUUCUAAGCACUUGUCUGAAACAGAGAAUCUUAGUGUAAAUCACAUUAAGCAAGCAACUCCAGUGUGGGACAGCUGAUUGUGGUGCAGAAGUCUUGUUGUAAGAGUGGCAAAGAACUGAAAACAUGGCCAAGAAUGUAUCGGCCAGCCUUAGUCUCUGAGCCAUCCAUACCCACCACGGUAAGUGACAUAAAGAGCCUGGACUUCAGGAUCUUACAGACCUGAUGUAGAAUCCUACUCUUGAAGUUUACCAGUUCUGUGACCUUAAGUAACUUCCCUAGCCUCUCUGAACUUUGCUUUCAUCUGUAAAAUGGGAGAGUGGUACCAACCUUCCAGACUGGGGGGAGAGGGGGAGGAUUAAGUUAUCCAAUUUAAGUGAAGUACCUGGCACAUACUGGGUGAUUGAUAAAUGGUAGGUAUGACUUCUUAUUUUAAGCAAUUCACAGGAAUUAUACCAUGGCAGUGUUUUCUAAACAGUAUCUUUACAGAUAAUAUAAUUUAAUGAUAAUCAGAAAAAUGGCAAAAAUCCAUUGGUUGUCCUCAAUCCCUCUCUGGCCUCCAUCAGGUGCAGCCAGUUACUCAGGAACCUCAAUUAUUUGCAGACAUAAGAUCCUGCGUCUGCAUGUGACGAGAUCACUUUAGGGUUUAACAUCAGAUCUAGGCUGUUCUAAGUCAUUCAUUCUUGUAGCAUAUUUAUUUGAUGUCAUCAGUCUGAUGUCAUCCCACUUCUGCCGUUAACUAUUUGUUUCAUGCAAGUACUAAUUGGAACUAAUUGACAAGUCCCAAUUUCUUCAUCGGCAAAAAAGUUUGGACAUAGAGUAUAUUUUCUACAGUCUCUACCCAUUAAUUCCUUAAAGCUGUGAUUCUGGAAUCUAGAAAGAAUCCUGCCUUCACUGCUUGGUGAAUAGGUAGCAGGAACUAGAAAAUAAAAA
rnacentral:lncRNA from 1 species